rfam:Verrucomicrobia bacterium CAG:312_58_20 Ley3_66761_scaffold_626, whole genome shotgun sequence.
AAUUUUGGGCGGGCAUUCGCCCGCGGCUCGUCCGCGGGAGGAAAGUCCGGACACCACAGAGCGGGAUUCCGUCCGAAAGGGCGGGGCGCGCGCCGCAAGGCGCGCGUACGGACAGUGCAGCAGAAAACAAACCGCCGCGCGAGCGGCAAGGGUGAAAAGGCGGGGUAAGAGCCCACCGCCGCGGGAGCAAUCUUCGCGGGCAUUGAAAACCCAAUCCGGUGCAAGACAACAUAGGAUGCGGAACUGCUCGUUCAAACGCAUUGGGUAUGUCGCACCCCUCGCGGGGGCCCCUUUUCAAGGGGGCAGAUAAAUGAAUGCCGGUUCCUUCGGGGACUACAGAAUCCGGCUUACAGCCCAACUUUCUCU